AGUCGACGGCGCACGGGAGCAAUCCUGGUGGCGAGUGGCGAACGGGUGAGUAAUAUAUCGGAACGUGCCCAGUCGUGGGGGAUAACGCAGCGAAAGCUGUGCUAAUACCGCAUACGAUCUAUGGAUGAAAGCGGGGGACUCGCAAGAGCCUCGCGCGAUUGGAGCGGCCGAUAUCAGAUUAGCUUGUUGGUGGGGUAAAAGCCCACCAAGGCGACGAUCUGUAGCUGGUCUGAGAGGACGACCAGCCACACUGGAACUGAGACACGGUCCAGACUCCUACGGGAGGCAGCAGUGGGGAAUUUUGGACAAUGGGCGCAAGCCUGAUCCAGCAAUGCCGCGUGCAGGAUGAAGGCCUUCGGGUUGUAAACUGCUUUUGUACGGAACGAAACGGUCUACUUUAAUACAGUGGGCUAAUGACGGUACCGUAAGAAUAAGCACCGGCUAACUACGUGCCAGCAGCCGCGGUAAUACGUAGGGUGCGAGCGUUAAUCGGAAUUACUGGGCGUAAAGCGUGCGCAGGCGGUUAUAUAAGACAGAUGUGAAAUCCCCGGGCUCAACCUGGGACCUGCAUUUGUGACUGUAUAGCUAGAGUACGGUAGAGGGGGAUGGAAUUCCGCGUGUAGCAGUGAAAUGCGUAGAUAUGCGGAGGAACACCGAUGGCGAAGGCAAUCCCCUGGACCUGUACUGACGCUCAUGCACGAAAGCGUGGGGAGCAAACAGGAUUAGAUACCCUGGUAGUCCACGCCCUAAACGAUGUCAACUGGUUGUUGGGUCUUCACUGACUCAGUAACGAAGCUUACGCGUGAAGUUGACCGCCUGGGGAGUACGGCC
rnacentral:rRNA from 1 species